GACGAACGCUGGCGGCGUGCUUAACACAUGCAAGUCGAGCGGUAAGGCCCUUUCGGGGGUACACGAGCGGCGAACGGGUGAGUAACACGUGGGUGACCUGCCCUCAGCCCUGGGAUAAGCCUGGGAAACCGGGUCUAAUACCGGAUAUGACUCCAUGACGCAUGUUGUGGGGUGGAAAGCCUUGUGCGGCUGAGGAUGGGCCCGCGGCCUAUCAGCUUGUUGGUGGGGUGAUGGCCUACCAAGGCGACGACGGGUAGCCGGCCUGAGAGGGCGACCGGCCACACUGGGACUGAGACACGGCCCAGACUCCUACGGGAGGCAGCAGUGGGGAAUCUUGCGCAAUGGGCGAAAGCCUGACGCAGCGACGCCGCGUGAGGGAUGACGGCCU
rnacentral:rRNA from 1 species